GUAGGUGAACCUGCGGAAGGAUCAUUAACACGUAUCCAACGUUAAACAACCCUGUGAACCUUGAACGUGCUCUCGUACAGAAAACUGGUGUCAUUAGGUGCCGAAGCACAGAGGCCCGGUCGCCGGCCGUGUGGGCCUACAGCGAUCGUUUACUGCGCCAUCCUUGCGCAACCACUGACAGAUGGCUAGGAUGCCAGGCCGCUUACUCUGGCGCUCGUAUCGUAUGGUUUUCUAGCAGAAGUCCCAGAAUCAAUAGCUGGUCAACAAUGAUUUACCAGGGAUUGCUGCUAGAGCGUGACCCGGUGCGCUGUAACAACCGCACCACAAACUCGAACAACUGUUAACAAUGGAUAACUUGGUUCUU
rnacentral:misc_RNA from 1 species